AAAUCAGCUCAGUGGAUCCCUCGGCUCGUGGGUCGAUGAAGAACGGAGCAAACUCCGUGUUGUCGUGUGAACUGCAGGACACAUGAACAUCGACACUUUGAACGCAAAUGGCGGCCCUCGGUCUUUGCACCUUGGGCCACUCCUGGCUGAGGGUCG
rnacentral:rRNA from 1 species